UAAACACAAGGAUGGAGAAACUAGUGUAAAGUGUGAAUUGAAAAUUUUAUGUCCCACAUCGGGUAGAUCACACACUCUAGUAGAAAUCCUCCUUAUAAAUUGAGAGCUCGGGAAUAGUAUUCUUCACUCCAAAACUGAGAAUCGAAUACUCUUCUCUGGUUUUCUCCCCUUCUCAUCUCCCGCGAUUUGUGUUGACGAGUCGUUCUUUUCCUCCUCCUCUUUCUGUGGGCUUCGGAAAAUUGUGGGCUUCGGAAGAGUGGUCUAAGAACCAUAUUGUGGGAUUCGGAAGAGUGGUCUAAGAACCAUAUUGUGGGUUUCGGAAGAGUGGUCUAAGUACCAUAUCGAGGUGUCAUUCUCGAGCGAUUUCUGGCAGUGCAGCCUUUAAUCGUACAGUAAGAAUCUGGGCUGUUUUAUCCUGGAGACGGCGCGGUUGCUAGUCUACCUUGCACAAUUCAGGUAGUGCCGCGAAACGUCUUAAAGAGAGCGACCUGGUCGUGACUCAUCCCGGUAAUAGUUUCAAAAGCUCCAUCGUAUAUUUUCAAAUUACAAAAAUCAACAUUUUUAAGACGUUUCGAAUACGAUACGAUGAGUUCUGAAAAGAUUACCGCGGUUUCAGCUGAUGACUUUAACAAACCGUUUCUGUUUACGGGUAGCCACUUCAAACGUUGGCAGCAAAAGAUGUUGUUCUUCUUGACAACUAAAAAGGUUGCCUACGUUUUGAAGGAAGCUAUGCCUGUAGCACCUACGAGUUCGACUCCUGCUGGAGCGAAUAAUAACGGUAAGGCGGCAGACCCUACUGCUGCUGAGAAAGCUGAACCUGAGAAAGCUGACCCAGAUAAACAGCUAGCCAUUGCUCUAUGGAAGGAAAAUGACUACCUCUGUAAGAAUUAUAUUCUUAAUAGACUCACAGACCCUCUAUAUGAUUAUUAUAGACUCUGUGAUACUGCUAAACAACUAUGGGAAGCACUUCAGAAGAAGUAUGAUACUGAAGAGGCUGGUGUUAAGAAAUACGCCGUAAGCCGCUAUCUGAAUUUCAAAAUGAGUGAUGAUAAGUCCGUUGAGGCACAAUCACAUGAGCUGCAACAAAUUGCUCACGAGAUCAUAGCUGAAGGGAUGGCACUUCCCGAACAAUUUCAAAUAGCUGUGAUUAUUGAUAAGCUGUCUCCUGCCUGGAAGGACUUCAAGAGUCUUCUUAGACACAAAACUAAGGAGUUCUCUCUUGAAAGUCUGAUCACUCGCCUUCGUAUUGAAGAAGAAGCGAGAAAGCAGGACCAGAAUGAAGAGGUGUUUGCUGUUUCUAACAACAACACUAAAAAGAAAUUUGUAGGUGCUGUUCUGAAGCCUGCUGGCAAACCAUUUAAGAAUCAGAACCGCCCUAUGAAUAAGAAUUCCAACAGGAAUAAGACUGGGAACAAUUCAAGACCCCAGAUUCAACAGCCACCAAAGAAUGAUGCUGCUCCACCUUUCAACUGUUACAAUUGUGGGCAAGCAGGUCAUGUGGCACGCAAGUGCAGAAACAGAACCAACCGACCAGCACAGGCUCACAUGGCUACUGAUGCUGCACCUGAUGAGCCCUACGUGGCUAUGAUUACUGAGAUCAAUAUGAUUGCAGGUUCUGAUGGCUGGUGGGUGGACACUGGUGCUUCUCGCCAUGUCUGCUAUGAUAGAGGUAUGUUCAAAACAUAUACUGCUUGUGGUGAUCAGAAGGUGUUGUUGGGAGACUCCCACUCCACUGAUGUUGUUGGAAUCGGAGAUAUAGAGCUGAACUUCACCUCUGGAAAGACUCUGAUACUGAAGGAUGUGCUGCACACUCCUAAGAUUAGGAAGAAUUUAGUUUCAGGUUUUCUUUUAAAUAAGGCUGGGUUUACUCAAAGCAUAGGGGCUGAUUUGUACACCAUCACUAAGAAUGGUAUUUUUGUUGGGAAAGGGUACGCCACUGAUGGCAUGUUUAAGUUGAACAUUGAUAUGAAUAAAAUUUCUUCUUCUGCUUAUAUGUUGUGUGAUUUUAAUAUUUGGCAUUCUAGACUCUGUCACGUUAACAAAAGAAUUAUUUCAAAUAUGAGCGGUUUAGGAUUAAUUCCUAAAAUAUCUUUAAACGAUUUUGAAAAAUGUCAAUUUUGUAGUCAAGCAAAAAUAAAUAAAGAAUCACAUAAAUCAGUAACCAGAAUAACUGAACCUUUUGAAUUAAUUCAUUCUGAUUUAUGCGAAUUAGAUGGAAACUUGACUAGAAAUGGAAAAAGAUAUUUCAUCACUUUUAUAGAUGACUGCUCGGAUUACACACAUGUGUAUUUAAUGAGAAAUAAAAAUGAAGCGCUUGAUAUAUUUAAACAGUAUGUUAAAGAAAUUGAAAAUCAAUUCAAUAUUAGAAUCAAGCGUUUUAGAAGUGACAGAGGUACUGAAUAUGGAUCACAUAUAUUCAAUGAGUAUUAUAAAGAACUCGGAAUUAUUCAUGAAACAACUGCUCCUUAUUCUCCUGAAAUGAACGGUAAAGCGGAAAGAAAAAAUAGAACGUUUACCGAAUUAGUAGUUGCAACAAUGCUUAAUUCCGGAGCAGCGCCUCAUUGGUGGGGAGAAAUUUUAUUGACUGUUUGCUAUGUGCUAAACAGAGUACCCAAAACAAAGAACAAAAUUUCUCCAUAUGAAAUUUUGAAGAAAAGACAACCAAACUUGUCUUAUUUUAGAACAUGGGGCUGUCUAGCCUAUGUAAGAAAACCAGACCCCAAAAGAGUCAAACUAGCAAGUAGAGCCUAUGAAUGUGCAUUCAUUGGGUAUGCCUUAAAUAGUAAAGCCUAUAGGUUUUACGACCUGAAAUCUAAAACGAUCAUAGAAUCAAAUGAUGUUGACUUCUAUGAAAAUAAAUUUCCCUUUAAGUCAGGAGACAGUGGGGGUAAUAGUGGGGGCACUGAUAACUCAGUUCUUGAUCAACCUUCUGAAAUCAUAACAAGCAAUGAAAACAUCGAAAGAGAUGUUAUAGAACCUCGUAGAGGUAAGAGAGCAAGAAUUGCUAAAGAAUAUGGCCCCGAAUAUGUGGCAUAUACAAUAGAGGAGGAUCCAUCAAGCAUCAAGGAAGCUCUGUCUUCAAUUGAUGCUGAUUUAUGGCAAGAAGCUAUAAAUGAUGAAAUGGAUUUUGUAAUGUCCAACGAAACUUGGCACCUAACUGACUUGCCUCCUGGAUGUAAGACUAUAGGUUGUAAGUGGAUUUUGAAAAAGAAACUAAAACCUGAUGGGUCAAUCGACAAAUACAAGGCACGCCUUGUAGCAAAAGGUUUUAGACAAAGAGAAAAUGUAGAUUUCUUUGACACAUAUUCACCUGUAACUAGAAUCACUUCCAUUAGGGUACUAAUCUCAUUGGCGGCUAUCCACAAUUUGAUAGUACACCAAAUGGAUGUAAAAACUGCUUUUUUAAACGGUGAAUUAGAAGAAGAAAUCUACAUGGACCAACCUGAAGGUUUCGUAAUCCAUGGACAAGAGAACAAAGUUUGUAAGUUAGACAAAUCUUUGUAUGGUCUAAAACAAGCACCGAAACAAUGGCAUGAGAAAUUCGACAAUCUUAUGAUUGAGAAUGAGUUUAAGGUGAAUGAAAGCGACAAGUGUAUUUAUUCCAAGUACGAAAAUAACACUUGCACGAUCAUAUGUCUAUACGUAGACGACUUACUCAUAUUUGGUUCAAACCUCAAUGCCAUUAAAGAUGUGAAAUCAUUGUUGUGCCACAACUUUGAUAUGAAAGACCUAGGAAAGGCAGAUGUAAUUCUUGGAAUCAAGAUUACUAGAACUGAUAAUGGAAUUUCCUUGAAUCAAUCUCACUACGUUGAGAAGAUCUUAAGGAAAUAUAAUUACUUCGAUUGUAAACCUGCGAGCACACCUUGUGACCCAAGUGUGAAGCUAUUUAAGAACACUGGAGAUAGUGUUAGACAAACUGAAUAUGCAAGCAUCAUUGGCAGUCUCAGAUAUGCCACUGAUUGUACUAGACCCGACAUCGGCUACGCCGUGGGACUAUUAUGCAAGUUUACGAGCAGGCCAAGCAUGGAGCAUUGGCAAGCUAUCGAAAGAGUCAUGAGAUACUUGAAGAAGACCAUGACUCUAGGACUGCAUUAUCAGAGAUAUCCUGCAGUGCUUGAAGGAUACAGUGACGCAGAUUGGAACACCUUAUCAGAUGAUUUCAAAGCGACCAGUGGCUAUAUAUUUAGCAUUGCUGGAGGAGCUGUUUCCUGGAAAUCCAAGAAACAGACCAUUCUGGCUCAGUCCACAAUGGAAUCUGAGAUGAUAGCACUAGCUGCUGCUAGUGAAGAAGCAAGUUGGCUAAGAUGCUUGCUAUCUGAAAUCCCUUUGUGGGAGAGACCGUUACCAGCUGUGUUAAUUCAUUGUGAUAGUACCGCGGCUAUCGCAAAGAUUGAGAAUCGUUAUUACAAUGGUAAGAGACGACAGAUAAGACGAAAACACAGCACGAUAAGAGAAUAUCUUUCGAACGGAACGGUAAGAGUAGAUUUCGUACGAACAAAUGAAAAUUUAGCUGAUCCUUUGACGAAAGGACUAAACAGAGAGAAAGUCGCAAAUACAUCUAGUAGUAUGGGACUAAUGCCUAUUGAUCAUAAGUGAUGGAAACCCGACCUAAAUGACUGGAGAUCCCAAGAACUAGGUUCAAUGGGUAAUAACAAAUCACAAGUGAUAGAACAUGCUAUGAGAACGCAUGAUCCUGCAGUGACCGAAGGUUGAGAUAAUAGAAACUCUUAAUGAGAUCUAUACUUCUUAUGGAGUGAAGUACAUAGCUACAGGAGUACUUCUGAUAGACUCACCUAUACGUAUGUAGAACUGAGGCCGGUUCUUAUGGAAUUUCGAGGCAGAAUUUCUAGAGCAUUCGUUAAAACUGGGAUAGAUGUGCAAGGCCAUUAACGCACGGGCUUUUUAGAAAACACCUAAGAAAAGGUUGUGUGUGGGUCCUAUGUCUGAGAUAGAGUUCAAUGCUGUAAGCAACUCUUGUUAAUCAGAAUACUACUCACUAUGCAAAGGUUCAAGUUGUUGGCGACACCUCUGUUUACUAGCAAUCUUUAAGAAACGUUUAAAACGUAACUUUCGAAACCAAUUUUGAAUUCAAGUGGGGGAUUGUUGGAACACUAGUGUAUAUUGGAAAAACUUGGAGUUUACUAGUGAGUUUGUGGAGCCUUUGGAAUGUAAACACAAGGAUGGAGAAACUAGUGUAAAGUGUGAAUUGAAAAUUUUAUGUCCCACAUCGGGUAGAUCACACACUCUAGUAGAAAUCCUCCUUAUAAAUUGAGAGCUCGGGAAUAGUAUUCUUCACUCCAAAACUGAGAAUCGAAUACUCUUCUCUGGUUUUCUCCCCUUCUCAUCUCCCGCGAUUUGUGUUGACGAAUCGUUCUUUUCCUCCUCCUCUUUCUGUGGGCUUCGGAAAAUUGUGGGCUUCGGAAGAGUGGUCUAAGAACCAUAUUGUGGGAUUCGGAAGAGUGGUCUAAGAACCAUAUUGUGGGUUUCGGAAGAGUGGUCUAAGUACCAUAUCGAGGUGUCAUUCUCGAGCGAUUUCUGGCAGUGCAG
rnacentral:lncRNA from 1 species